AACGCGAAGAACCUUACCUACCCUUGACAUGCUCGGAACCUGCCAGAGAUGGUGGGGUGCCUUCGGGAACCGAGACACAGGUGCUGCAUGGCUGUCGUCAGCUCGUGUCGUGAGAUGUUGGGUUAAGUCCCGUAACGAGCGCAACCCUUGUCCUUUGUUGCCAACAGGUAAAGCUGGGAACUCAAAGGAGACUGCCGGUGACAAGCCGGAGGAAGGUGGGGAUGACGUCAAGUCCUCAUGGCCCUUACGGGUAGGGCUACACACGUGUUACAAUGGUCAGUACAGAGGGAAGCGAAGCCGCGAGGUGGAGCAAAUCUUUUAAAAGCUGAUCGUAGUCCGGAUUGGAGUCUGCAACUCGACUCCAUGAAGUUGGAAUCGCUAGUAAUCGCGGAUCAGAACGCCGCGGUGAAUACGUUCCCGGGCCUUGUACACACCGUGUCGA
rnacentral:rRNA from 1 species